CAGAUAUAUUUAUUUGAUUUAGUCCAAACCAAAUCCCUAGGACACAAAUGAGGUGGUAACUGAAUUCUGUGCCUUCAGAAUUUGCACAUUUAAUGGGAAACAAUUUCAAAGCCUCUGCCGGUCAUUGGAAAGGCUGUUCCAUUCUGCUUUUUCCACAGAGCAAAAUCUUUCUGAGAACAGUGCUUAUUAUUGAUAGGUUUAAAGCACCUCAGGUGCUUGCCCAUUGUGUGUAUUGCUGUCACUCUGUCUUCUGAGCAGUGGGAAGCAAUGAUGGAUAACAUAGAGAAUAAUACAUGAUUCUUGAUGGAAUGCAAAGCUAUAAUUCAGUCUUGGGGGUUCUGCUGACGUCACAGUGCGUGAGAACACAGCUCAAAGAGGUUUUUCUAAAAACCAAGCAACCCUUGUUAUCAAUCGAGUAUGGAGCAAGGGGAUCAAGACGCACACUAUAGCCUCCUUGAGUGAUUUUCAAAGGAGAAAAGCACGUGAGAGUGUAAUCUCUUAGGUUAAAGUCACAACUGUGCUCCCAGGAAGGCAACGAGAGCCUAUUGCUGGCUCCUACCCAGUUCAUUCCUCAUUUGCUUUGUGACAGGCAAAUGAAAACUCUCAGAUGUGGAGAAUAGAACUCUCUCUUCUUGGCCCUUCAAGAUAUCCUCUAACCCAGGUUUCCAAAAUUUCUCUGUUGCCUGAUCUAUCAGAAAGCUGCCCUUUCUGUUGUUAACAACUCAAGAAUGUUCAGUGUUAACAACUCAAGAAUGAAGACUAGACUGCAUAUUUCCUCAGCGGGCCCUGAAGCAUUAUACAAUUUCAAGGAAGAAGGAAAUAAUGGAUGGUAACAGAGAUCACAUUUAUCCCAUCACAACUGACAUUAAGCCAAGGCUCCACCAUGAAAGCAAAGCAGGGAAUUAAAGCAAUUCUCCAGGCUUUUGAAAGGCGACUUGGAUAUUCCCAUUCGGAGAACCGGAUGUCCACACAGCUAACAAAAAUGGGCUGUGCUACUCUCUCUAUUCAGGUGCCUCUGCGUGCCCGGGCAGGAAGUUUGUGGCCAUUGACACACACACCUGAGCCACAUACACUUGCCUACAAACUCCCAGUUCCUUCCCUUAGGCCCCAAGAAGCUUCCAAAUAUGUCUCCGUCUGCAAAGAAAAAUGGGGCCGGCUCAUAAAUUCUUCUUGCAUAUGCCUUUCUUUGGAAUGGACCGAAUAUGGAAUAACAUGGACAUGGCUGAUGAGCAUCCGGAGACGGGAUGGCAGUGCAUAA
rnacentral:lncRNA from 1 species